rnacentral:piRNA from 1 species
UGGGUGAAGCUAAAACCUCUUAGGUGGCCUU